rnacentral:rRNA from 1 species
GAUGAACGCUAGCGGCAGGCUUAACACAUGCAAGUCGAGGGGUAUAGUAGCAAUACUAGAGACCGGCGCACGGGUGCGUAACGCGUAUGCAACCUACCUUUUACAGAGGGAUAGCCCCAGAGAAAUUUGGAUUAAUACCUCAUAGUGUUAUUAGAUGGCAUCAUUUGAUAACUAAAGUUCCAACGGUAAAAGAUGGGCAUGCGUCCUAUUAGCUAGAUGGUAAGGUAACGGCUUACCAUGGCUACGAUAGGUAGGGGUCCUGAGAGGGAGAUCCCCCACACUGGUACUGAGACACGGACCAGACUCCUACGGGAGGCAGCAGUGAGGAAUAUUGGACAAUGGGCGCAAGCCUGAUCCAGCCAUGCCGCGUGCAGGAAGAAGCAUCUAUGGUGUGUAAACUGCUUUUGUACGGGAAGAAACACUCCUACGUGUAGGAGCUUGACGGUACCGUAAGAAUAAGGAUCGGCUAACUCCGUGCCAGCAGCCGCGGU